AUACUUACCUGGCAGGGGAGAUACCAUGAUCACGAAGGCGCUUUUCCCAGAGCGAGGCUUAUCCAUUGCACUCCGGAUGUGCUGACCCCUGUGAUUUCCCCAAAUGUGGGAAAUCGCAGAAAAAAAAAUUGCUGCAUCUUGCAUCUCUUAU
rfam:Myotis brandtii contig265900, whole genome shotgun sequence.